CUCAGCCUUCUUCCACCCAGCAUUCUCCUCUCUCCUUAUCCCGCCUACACUAUUCUUCCUGCCUGGCUACUGGCCAAUCAGCAUUUUAUUUAUCAAUCAAUCAUAGAAACAUAUAUUUACAGCAUACAGGACAUCCCACAGCAGUGGGGAGUGAUUAAAGAAGACACCCAGAGCCAGGUGGUGGUGGUGCAGAAGCAGGAGGAUCUUUGUGAGUUCGAGGCCAGCCUGGUCUACAGAGGGAGUUCUAGGACAGCCAGGGCUACACAGAGAAACCCUGUUUCAAAAAAACCAAAAACACCCAGUGUUGGCCUUUUGAACCAUCUGUGUACCAGCAGACAAAUGCAUACCACACACAAGCAUACAUACUUACAACAUACAUAAACAUAGAGUGACAAAUUAAGUAACAUAAUCUGCAGGUGCAGUCUAUUGAUCCCCCAUUGCUGCCGGAGAGAACCUUACCUAGUCCAUAUUCUAUGGAGUCUGGGUGAUCCUCAUCACCGUCUUGGCUGACCUUCUGGAGAUGCUGCAGAUAGGCAUCAGUGUGGAAGCUGGCCAUCUCCUCCAUGGAGGCCACUUCGGGCUUCACUAUCCUAAUAAUAACAGAGCGAACAGAGGGGAGUGAGUCAGGCCCAGAUGCAAGGUGCUGGAAACAGCAGCCAACAGACUGAAGAGAAAAGACAAGUCCCAGCUUCUGGGUCCAGUGAAGUCAUAAACACACCAUGUCCUCCACUGCAUGGCCCAGUCUUCACUUCCUAUGAUACUGACCCCACUAAUAAGAGACAAGAAGACAACUUUGUCCUUUAGUUUUUAGGUAGGGAACAGAACUGAAAAAUUAUAUUUUACUCAAACAGAUGCUCAUGCAUCAAGGUCCCUGGUUUAGCCACACUCACUAACCCAGGGCCAGCAGGAUGGCUCAGUGGGUAAGGCACCUGCCAUCAAGACUGUCAACCUGAGUUUAAUCCCUGGGGCCCAUGUUGUGGAGGAGAGAACUGACUACCCCGGCAAGGUGCCCUCGACCUCCGUGUGUGCUCUGUGGCACGCACAUCCCCUAAUAUAUAUACUUUUUUAAAAAUUAAAAGACUCUGGAGCUGGAGGGAUGGCUCGGGGGUUAAGAGAACUUGCUGCUUUUGCAGAGAGAGGACUGGGGUUCAGUUCCCAACUCCACCUGGUGACUUACAACCAUGCAUAACUCCAGUUCCAGAUCUGACCCUCUCAUCUGACCUGCACAGGUAACAGGCACACAUGCACACACACACAUACAAGCAAAGCACUCAUACACACAAAAUAAGUAAUCAUAAAAGCCUAUUUUUAAAAGACUGAAAUAUCAACUUCGCUCUGUGAGUUACAUCUCAUCAACAAAGCAGCAAAGCCGUUUACAUUUGAGUGAGUUUCUGCUUGGACUAGGUAAUCCUUUCAGUCAGAUGUGUAGUCACUCGUGUUAGUUUCGGGGCCGAGCUUUGUCCCCCUCAUCCCUGUGUGUCUAUUUUAAUAGGCAGCUGGGUUAUCACACAGAAUUCUGAGCCCGAGAACUGGAUUCCUUCCCUCACUCUGUACUUACUGCUUCUGUUAACUUCAGGGGAAGGACAGAAGGACCAAAUGGCUAGAACCUCUCAAUCUGCUCCUCGCAGUGAGAAAAGGAGGAAAUGAGAGAAGGAAGGAAGCAAGUUACAUGGGAUUUGGGGCCUCGAACCUGCUGAGUCCUGUUGUCUCUUCUGGAUUCUGCUGCAGGGCAUAUGCUUCGAUCAGAGAGUGGACCAUACUGGCCUGAAAUGUCAGCAUAAAAGAAAAAAGGCAGAAGAGUCUCUUCAAGGUUCAAUUUACUGAAAUUCCAUUAACAACGUCCUGCGGGAAGAACUAACAACUGUAUCUCUUCUCCCUUCUUUCACUUUAAGAGUUGGGAUACACUUAAGACAAAACAGAUACAAAGUAUCAAAAUCGCCAAGACGGAAGCUUCCAGCCUUACUUAAGCGAUGAUGCUUCCAAUGCUAUGAAUUUCAAUAUCUGCCAGCAUGGUAAGGACAAGGAUGGCCUCAACCAGAAGUUGGCGGUACUCUGGCUGGGGUACACGAUUCAGGACAGACUCCACAUGGACAGAGAAUUUAAUCUCGCCUGGGGUCAUCUGUGAUAGAAAAAGAGAAAGUCACUUUCUAGAAUCCUGUCACCAAAGAACAUCAAACCUAUGAGCAAAGGGAUCAAGAUCAUGAUGGGGAAACCUAGAGAGACAGCUGGCCCGAGCUAGUGUGAGCUCACUGACUGAACUGAUGGCUGUGGAACCUGCAUGGGACUGACCUAGACCCUCUGCAUACAGGAGACAGUUAUAUAGCUGGGUGUGUUUGAGGGGCCCCUGGCAGUGGGAUCAGGAUCUUCCCUGGUGCAGGAACUGGCUUUCUGGAGCCCAUUCCCUAUGGUGGGACGCCUUGCUCAGCCUUGAUGCAGGGGUGGGGGAGGGGCUCGGUCCUGCCUCUACUGAAUGUACCAGGUUUGCUGAUUCCCCAUGGGAGAACUUACCCUCUUUGA